AGCUAUAACUAUACACCUGAAAUUCAUUUCUACAUCAUUCAAAGAGCCACUUCAGAAACAAAGGCACAGAAACCCAAAGUGAACAAAAUUACCACAAGAGAGUGGAUUCAAGGGCCGUGGAGAACAGUGGACUGGGAAGAAAAUUCCUCGGAAGACAACUCAGAACCCUAUCAAGGGUCGGUUAGAAGCUCAUGACCAUAUAGGGGCAGCAUGAAUAGACACAGUUAAAUGAAAUUUGACAGCUACAAUGAAGCAUCUGAUUUGCAAUAUUCCUUAAUAUCAAGAUAAUGGAUUGCAUUUUUAGUAAGUUUUCAGUAAUACAAUACUUUAACCAAAACACAAAUGAAGCUGGUUAUAGAAAAAAAUGGAGAUGCAUAGGAACCCAGCUUCUCCAUCCUCCCACAAAGAUCAAUGACUGCACAGCUAACUGAACAAGAACAGCUUCAGAAGACUUCUAGAGUCCAAUUAGGAAAUUUUAGCAACACCAUGAAAAACAAAUAUGAAUAAUGAUAUCCCAACAAGAGAAGGAAGAGAACUUAUUUUGCCUCUGUCAUCAGAUUCCUCAAGCUGGCAUUGUUCACUACAGAGGAGGAAAUUGACAACCAAAAAGAUUCUCUUGGCAGCAAAAGAGGAGUGGGGUGAAUAGCCAGUUUUUUUUUUUUAAAGAUUUUUUUUUAAAUAUUUGUUUAUGCAAAGAAAAACUGGGGUAAUCUAGCAACUGGGUAUAUACUCAAAGGAAAAAAAAAUCAGUAUCUUGAACGGGUAUCUCAUUCUUGUGUUCAUUGUAGCAUUAUCCAUAGUAACCGUUAUAUGGAAGCAACCUCGGUGUUUUUCAAUAGAUGAAAGGAUAAAAAUGAGUGUGUGUGUGUGCACACAAAUACACACUAUGGAAAUUUUUCAGUUAUAAGAAAGGAUGAAAAUUUGCUACUUAGACAACAUAGAUGGGCCUUGAAGGCAUUAUGCUGGUUGAAAUAAGUCAAAGAAAAACAAAUGCUAUAUAAUAUCAUUUAUAUGUAGAAUAUAAAAUUAAACUCUAACACAGUGACAGUGGACAGCAAAUUUGGGUAAGGAGAUGUCAAAGUGUAGAAACGUCCACUUAUAAAUCAUAUUUGAGGAACAAAUAUAUAGUAUAAUGAUUAUUGUUAAUAAUACAUUAUAUACUUGAAUGUUGCUGAGAGAUGAUCUUAAAUUUUCUCACUACACAAAAGAAAUGACAAGGUAAGGAGAUGGAGGUGUUAGCUAAUAGUAUGGUGGUAAUCAUCUUGCAAUAUAUAUACAUCUAUGAAAUCAACCCUUUGUAGAUUGUAAACUUACAAAAUAUGUCAAUUAUAUUCCAAUAAAGCUGGGGUCUAGGGAGGAGAAGAAGAUAUAGAAAAAGAAAAAUGAGGAAAACAGCAUAAUUUCUUGUGAGAUCUACCACUAUCAAAUAUUAGAAAUUUAUACAUUUCCAAAGUAAUUUCAAACUUAACUUUAUAAUCUUUUCUUGAAACUUUAUGUAUAAUUUUCAACUACAGGCCCCAUCUGUUCAGAUUUUUUCCCUACACUUAAAAAAAAAUCCAUAUAUAAUUGAAGUAUUUUUCUCUGAACCAAAGAAUAUGUUGCAGAUUUGACAUCUUAGCCUUGUAAAUUAUGAAUGUUUCCUAACAAAAAAAGUAAUUCUUUCCCAUUACCACAAUGCCAUGACCAGAAUCAGGAAGUAAACAUUGAUACACUAUUUAAGUUAUGGACCUUACUAGCAUUAAACAUAACUCAUUCCAGCAAUGUGUAAUUAGAGCGAAAAAUAUAAUGUGUUGUGUUUCAGAUCUAUAAUAAACUUUUCAUCAUCCCCAUUUAGCCUCCUUUAGUCUAGAAUGGUUUCAGUCUUUAUUUUGUGGGAGGUUUGACUUUUGAAGAGACAUACAUUUAUUUUGUGGAGUGUCCCAUAAUCAUGUUUAAUAUCUUCUCAUGAACAGAUUCAAAGGAUUUACAUUUGGUAAAAAAAAAAAAAUCACAGAAGUGGUAUUAUGUCAAUUUCAGUGCAUCUUGUCAGGAGGCAUAUAUCCUAUGUUAAUCCUGUUAAUGACAACUUUAGUCACAAGCUAAGGUGGUAUCUACCAGCCAUUUCUGUUUUUCCUUUUUUAAUUUGUAAGCAUUUCUUGGGGGACGGCAUUCUGAGACUGUUACUUUGUUCCUUAAAGUUUCAUCCAUUUG